UGAACGCUGGCGGCAUGCUUUACACAUGCAAGUCGAACGGCAGCGGGGUAGUGCUUGCACUCCUGCCGGCGAGUGGCGAACGGGUGAGUAAUAUAUCGGAACGUACCGAGUAAUGGGGGAUAACCAAUCGAAAGAUUGGCUAAUACCGCAUACGUCCUGAGGGAGAAAGCGGGGGAUCGCAAGACCUCGCGUUAUUCGAGCGGCCGAUAACUGAUUAGCUAGUUGGUGGGGUAAAGGCCUACCAAGGCGACGAUCAGUAGCGGGUCUGAGAGGACGAUCCGCCACACUGGGACUGAGACACGGCCCAGACUCCUACGGGAGGCAGCAGUGGGGAAUUUUGGACAAUGGGGGCAACCCUGAUCCAGCCAUGCCGCGUGUAUGAAGAAGGCCUUCGGGUUGUAAAGUACUUUUGUUAGGGAAGAAAAGGGAAGUGCUAAUACCACUUUUUGCUGACGGUACCUAAAGAAUAAGCACCGGCUAACUACGUG
rnacentral:rRNA from 1 species